rnacentral:rRNA from 1 species
UAGGGAAUAUUAGAAAUGGACGAAAGUCUGAUCUAGCAACACCGCGUGUGCGAAGAAGGCCUUCGGGUUGUAAAGCACUUUUUGGAAGGAUUAGGAAGGAAUGUACUUCCAGAAUAAGUCUCGGCUAACUACGUGCCAGCAGCCGCGGUAACACGUAGGAGGCAAACGUUAUCCGGAUUUACUGGGCGUAAAGCGCGUGUAGGUGGUUCUGUAAGUAGGGCGUGAAAGCUCCUGGCUCAACUGGGAGAGGCCGUUCGAAACUGCAGAGCUGGAGGAUGGUAGAGGGAGGUGGAAUUCCGGGUGUAGCGGUGGAAUGCGCAGAUAUCCGGAGGAACACCAGUGGCGAAAGCGGCCUCCUGGACCAUUCCUGACACUCAGACGCGAAAGCUAGGGUAGCAAACG